CCAAUUUAUAUGUUAGUUUGCCUGUGGCUUCGGUCACUGGUAUUAACUACUAUGUAAACGUUGAACUAGAUCAAUCGGUGUGGAUUGCUUGGGAAUGGACGAAGCGAUGAGCCUCUUCCGGACAGGCAAGCCCCACACUGAUAACCUUUUUCAUAUCAUUUACUCGUAUAUACUACCACAACAACAAAAAACAAAAGCUAUAAUAGGACUUAUUAACGGCUGAGUGGGUAACAUCCUCGGCUUAAACAUAUAACUAUUA
rnacentral:misc_RNA from 1 species